rnacentral:rRNA from 1 species
ACUGGGGAGGGGUUCAUUAAAUUCAGUUAUAGUUCCCUUUUGAUAAUCCCUUUACUAACUUGGAUAACCGUUAGUAAAUUUCUAGAUUCCAUUGGUAAAGAGGUUUUUAGAGGGACGUUCAUUUUACAAGAUGAAGGGAAGAUGGCGGCAAUAACAGGUCUGUGAUGCCCUUAGAUGUCCUGGGCCGCACGCGCGCUACACUGAUGCACUCAACGAGCAUAUAACCUUGGCCGAGAGGCCUGGGUAAUCUUGUUAACAUGCAUCGUGAUAGGGAUCGAUUAUUGCAAUUAUUAAUCUUGAACGAGGAAUUCCUAGUAAUCGCAGAUCAUCAAUCUGCAAUGAUUACGUCCCUGCCCUUUGUACACACCGCCCGUCGCACCUACCGAUUGAAUGGUCCGGUGAAGCCUUGGGAUUGUGGUCUGGAUCCUUUAUUGGGGCCUGACUGUAAAACUGUCUAAACCUAUCAUAGAGGAAGGGAAGUGAACAGGCCCUCUCCCUUG